UUCACUUUGCUUCGUGGCCUUGUAGGGCCCCAAGACUCCGCUGGAGGUGUUGAGUACCCACUGGCUUCUGGGAGCUGAUCAUGAUAAGCAAACAAAGCUCACACUGGCCAGAGAUGCGGCCAGUGGCUUUGAAAUAAUCCAGGCAUUCCAAGAAUGCACGGCCACAGUCUGCUCCAUCUGCAGAGCACACAGAGAAGAAAUGUGAAGAGGUGAGAUUACUUGAAUUCAUCAUGUGUUUCCUUACACCUGCCGUUGGUGUCAUCUUGGUACUACCCUUCAGUCAUUCCCUUCUUUGUGAAAAUAAAAAUAAUGAUUUCAAACAUUGGCAGUAUCUAGAAGCUCAGGAUCACGAUGUGGUGGAUGUUCCUGCGACGGGUGACCCAGAUGAAGGACACAGCGCUGGGACUGAAUCCUGUUCUGCUGGCUGGUGUGUGUG